rnacentral:rRNA from 1 species
GACGAACGCUGGCGGCGUGCCUAAUACAUGCAAGUAGAACGCUGAAGAGAGGAGCUUGCUCUUCUUGGAUGAGUUGCGAACGGGUGAGUAACGCGUAGGUAACCUGCCUUGUAGCGGGGGAUAACUAUUGGAAACGAUAGCUAAUACCGCAUAGCAAUGGAUGACACAUGUCAUUUAUUUGAAAGGGGCAAUUGCUCCACUACAAGAUGGACCUGCGUUGUAUUAGCUAGUAGGUGAGGUAAUGGCUCACCUAGGCGACGAUACAUAGCCGACCUGAGAGGGUGAUCGGCCACACUGGGACUGAGACACGGCCCAGACUCCUACGGGAGGCAGCAGUAGGGAAUCUUCGGCAAUGGGGGCAACCCUGACCGAGCAACGCCGCGUGAGUGAAGAAGGUUUUCGGAUCGUAAAACUCUGUUGUAAGUCAAGAACGGGUGUGAGAGUGGAAAGUUCACACUGUGACGGUAGCUUACCAGAAAGGGACGGCUAACUACGUGCCAGCAGCCGCGGUAAUACGUAGGUCCCGAGCGUUGUCCGGAUUUAUCGGGCGUAAAGCGAGCGCAGGCGGUUUGAUAAGUCUGAAGUUAAAGGCUGUGGCUCAACCAUAGUUCGCUUUGGAAACUGUCAAACUUGAGUGCAGAAGGGGAGAGUGGAAUUCCAUGUGUAGCGGUGAAAUGCGUAGAUAUAUGGAGGAACACCGGUGGCGAAAGCGGCUCUCUGGUCUGUAACUGACGCUGAGGCUCGAAAGCGUGGGGAGCGAACAGGAUUAGAUACCCUGGUAGUCCACACCGUAAACGAUGAGUGCUAGGUGUUGGAUCCUUUCCGGGAUUCAGUGCCGCAGCUAACGCAUUAAGCACUCCGCCUGGGGAGUACGACCGCAAGGUUGAAACUCAAAGGAAUUGACGGGGGCCCGCACAAGCGGUGGAGCAUGUGGUUUAAUUCGAAGCAACGCGAAGAACCUUACCAGGUCUUGACAUCCCGAUGCUAUUUCUAGAGAUAGAAAGUUACUUCGGUACAUCGGUGACAGGUGGUGCAUGGUUGUCGUCAGCUCGUGUCGUGAGAUGUUGGGUUAAGUCCCGCAACGAGCGCAACCCCUAUUGUUAGUUGCCAUCAUUCAGUUGGGCACUCUAGCGAGACUGCCGGUAAUAAACCGGAGGAAGGUGGGGAUGACGUCAAAUCAUCAUGCCCCUUAUGACCUGGGCUACACACGUGCUACAAUGGUUGGUACAACGAGUUGCGAGUCGGUAACGGCGAGCUAAUCUCUUAAAGCCAAUCUCAGUUCGGAUUGUAGGCUGCAACUCGCCUACAUGAAGUCGGAAUCGCUAGUAAUCGCGGAUCAGCACGCCGCGGUGAAUACGUUCCCGGGCCU